rnacentral:tRNA from 1 species
CCUUUGAUAGCUCAGCUGGUAAAGCAGAGGACUAUAGUGUGUGCUUGGCAAGUGAUCCUUAGGUUGCUGGUUCAACUCCAGCUUGAAGGA